UACAGAGGGUGCAAGCGUUAAUCGGAAUUACUGGGCGUAAAGCGUGCGCAGUCGGUUAUUUAAGUCGGAUGUGAAAUCCCCGGGCUCAACCUGGGAAUUGCAUUCGAUACUGGAUGGCUAGAGUUCGGCAGAGGGAAGUGGAAUUUCAGGUGUAGCGGUGAAAUGCGUAGAUAUCUGAAGGAACAUCAGUGGCGAAAGCGACUUCUUGGACCAGAACUGACGAUCAGGCACGGAAAGCGUGGGGAGCAAACAGG
rnacentral:rRNA from 1 species